GCGCUGGCUUCAGCAGCACAUGUGCUAAAAUUGGAACGAUACAGAGAUUAGCUUGGCCCCUACGCAAGGAUGACACGCAAAAUUGUGAAGCGUUCCACAUUCUU
ensembl:snRNA U6 U6 spliceosomal RNA